rnacentral:lncRNA from 1 species
GUGAGAAGAGGUAAUUUUGCAAAUUAGCCCAAGAACCCUGAAUGAGUUAACCCCUGUGAAGCAGGAGUACGUCUCGCUCCACCACCAAAGGUUUAGGCCUGCACGUUCCAGACCCUUCUGCUGCCUUCUCCCUCUGGGCCUGUUCACGUCACUCCAGCUCUUCUCCAAGGAGCCGGCUGGGUCUGGCCAGAGACGCUGCCAGCUCCACGGAGCCAUCAGCCUUCAGAGCAGCACCUUGGGCCAGGAAACACGGACAGGGGGAGUUCUGUGUGCGACUAAUGGACCCCAGAUAGAGCCACUCUUCAGUCACUGCCGUCACUUGAAAAUGCAUUUCCAGUUGACAAUAGCCGUCUGCCUAUAGAUAGCUCCACGCAGAGAUGGCUGGUCAGGCUGCUCUCCCAGAUGCCUGGGUCAGCAAUUUCCAAAGCAUCCAGUCAGCAGUUCCUGCUUCCUCCAGCAAAGUAUGGCUCUCUCCUCCCAUCUCCCAGUCCCAGGACAGGGUCCGGGCCUAGAGGGGACAGUGGCCGCCCCAAUCCGUUGCCAACAGCAGGCCCCUCUCUCUGCGCUGCCUCCAGGCCCCCAGCAGCAUCCACUUUUUAAAGGUGCCACCCGUGCCACCAGGAAGUCUCGUGUUCAGAAGUGUUCCCCAGACACGACGGGCCCCAGUCACAGUGCCUGGUCACCUGCAGGAGGCGCACCUGUGCUGCCCAGAUGCCGACAAAGCCCAGAGCGAGCAGGCAACUCCCCGCAGGACUCAGUGAACCAGGUUUGAACCCAGGUCGGCUGAUUUAUGCCCAUGUGUGUCUAUGCUGUUUAUAUGCGGGUACACGCGUGCAUAUGGCUGUGUGCACAUAUAGGUGCACACAUAACUACGAGUGUUUGUGCGUCUGUGAGUGUAUGUAGGCAUAUGCACACAUGUACCUGUACACGCCUGUGUGUUCACGUGUGCGUAUGUGUGGGUCUGUGUGCAGAUGCGUAAGUAUAUGGGUGUGUCUUUAUAUGUACUUCCCCGUUCGUGUCCGUAGCUGAGCUGUGAUAUCCACAGCAGCAGGAGGCAGGUGUUCCAUGGCUGUGUCCCCUGAAGCUGUUCUCCAAGGUCCCCUUGGCUACUGCCUGCUGGCCUCACUUCUCAGGCUCCCUCCCACCCUCCCCUGGGCCCCAGCCUGUGGCUUCCAUCCCUCAGCUCUGCUGCUGCCCAGGUCCCAGUUUCUGCAAAGGCCACCGGGACCUCCAGAUGCUCCCCUGGCCACGUCAGGCGACUGCAGGGGAACAGGAUGGUCCAGGCCCUAAGCAGAGGCCUAGAAACAGAUGCUCCAGCCAUGGCGCUCGGUGUGAGGAACGAAGGUUCUUGGAAGGAAGUGAAAUCCCCUCUCACUUAACAGCCUAAUAAGUAUUUGAACCUGAGUCAGUGAGGACUUGUCAGUUGUAGUGUUUUCUCAGAUGCGAAGGACACAUCUCAGCUUUCAAGCCCACGGGGGAGGGACGUGACCAGCUGGAGAAGGGCGGGUGGAGGCCUCUGGCACGGGCUCCGCCUGGCCUGAGCAUCCCGAGAGGCCCCGGGAAACUGUGCAGGGCCUCGCUAGACGUGGGGCUGGCGGCAGAGCGGAUGUGCAGGUGAGAGUCGGGGCAGCCUCCCACGGAGACCGUGGGGAAAUGAAGUCAGCGAGGCAUGGCCAGAAGCCAGCUUGAAGACGGUUCCAGAUGCCUGGGCCCCCUGAUCCACGUGGAAGGAGGGGCCGGCGGAAUGAGAGGGUCAGGAAAUUCGUCACCAGAUCCAUGCUCCGUGACUAGCUUGCAAAAGGUCAGGUUGAGCCAUUCAGGCCAUCUCAGGUUCUCUGCAGCUGUGCCCCCUCCCACUGUCUCCUUUCUGGUUCUUUAGCACGGGGGCACAUCUGCCCCCAGGCUCAGCCCAGCUGCCCCCUGCCUGGGAAGCCCUGCCGGCCCCCUGGCUGGCAGCUCCUGGUCAUCCAGUCCCAGCCUGCCUUCCCGGACCACCUCCCUUGAGCUGCCCUCAAAUCCGGCCUGACACCCUCCUUCCCUAAUCGGUUUUGUGUCCCUCGCCUGGCAUGAUCCCUCUUGAGCUCCUUGCUGGUUAUUCUCUUUCUCUCCUUGGAACAUGAGCUUCUCUGGCAGUCACGUGCCUAUUGUGUGCUGACCGUGUGGCAUUUCCAGAGCCUGGACAAGGACCAGCACGCAGUGGAGGCUCCAUAAAUGCUUGUUGAAUGAGGAGUGAUUAGCCACAUCAACAGGACUGGCCUCGUGGAAUCAUUUAAUGACAGCAUCAGGCUAUCACAGCUUGUAGCCCGCGCCUUGAAGCACCUGCAGAAACAUUCUCUGCGCUCAAGGAGCAGAGGGAACCGCCAGCCCUCUCUGCAAGGGCCGGCUUGUAGGAGCAAGCGGGAGCCUGGGGGUCCUUGGUGCCAGCCACAAAGCCAGUGCUGGGUUUGUUUAGAAUCGCGCUCAGAAUGAAGGACGGCUCUUAAGCUGGAGAUCUCUUAAUACAACAAGCAAACACCACAGAUUUUUCCAAGGCUGCUGCCACCAGGCGGGCGGGGCGCAGGCUCCCUUUCUUGGCUUGCUUCUGCCAUCUGCUGGCCAUGCAUUGAAAUGCAUUGAAAGGGGGUUUAUUGUCCAGUCUCUUGCAUGCUUCUGCUUCCUUCUGGGAUGAUCGAUCUCCUUGCCAAUUUUAUUCCCCACCCCACCCCCUUGGCAGGAGCUGCCUAGAUGACCCAUCCCUUGAGUCGGGCAGACUCUAGGCCCCAGGUGGGCUGGAGAAAGUCACCUGGCCCUGCAUCCUGUGACUUUCCCUCAUUUUUACAUACAGUAACUCUGUUAACACUCAGGAUCAAACCUACUGAGCAAGGACAUUUUUUACAGAGAGGGCGUGAAGGCGCAGAGAGGUCACGUGAACUGCUCAGAGUUGCAUAGCACAGGCGGUGGAGCCAAGCAGUAAGGCAUCUGAGGGCACAUUCUAUCAACAACCAUCACGGCCCAGGUCCCUCCGCUCCAGGGCCCCACUGGAGCGCUGAGAAAAGCUGGAUGUGUACAGAGUGGAGGAUGGAGGAGAGGAGCCCUGCAGCCCAUGCUCUCAGAGGUCUAGAGGAGCCUCCGUAUUUGGAGCCUUCCUCUUCAGACCUAGAAAACGGGAGCAUUGGACUACAGGCUUUCCAUGUUCCAUGCAGGUUCUGGACAGGACAGAGGUACAGAGGUCAGCACAGGCUCUUUGGGCAGAGAGACCCAGCCAAGGUAAAGACCAGACACUUCCCCCCACUAUAACUCUGUGAAUAGGAGGGAAGGUGUUGUGAUCUCCAAGCCUCGCUCUUGAGGAAGAUAAAAUGAGGUCAAGUGCAAAGCUUUUUGCGCUGUGAUGCUCAGAGAAAGUGCUUAAUAAAUAUCGCCAGUUGUUAUAAUGACAUUAAAGGCUCUGAGAAGUCCUGCAGGAAGUACCCUGCUCAAUUUCAGCUCAGCCUCUCCCUAUCCUAGCUGCCUACAGCACCACCGCAGAGCCCUGUGAGAUCCAUUGUCCCACAGAAUCCGUUUGCCCUCAUUGGUUUAAACCGCUUCCCAGAGCGACGAGGGCCUCAAUUCCCACCAAGAGUAGAAUCAGAGCAGGAGCUCUGUGCUCUGAGCUCUGUACUCUUUCUUGCUUUCACCACUUCUCUGUAUCCCAAAGC